rnacentral:rRNA from 1 species
AGCAGCCGCGGUAAUUCCAGCUCCAAUAGCGUAUAUUAAAGUUGUUGCAGUUAAAAAGCUCGUAGUUGAAUUUCGGGAUCAAGGAAUCGGUCAUGCCUCGGUAUGUACUGGUUUUAUUGGUUCUCACCUUCUAAAGAACCAUGAUGUCAUUCAUUUGAUGUUAUGGGGAAUUAGGACUGUUACCUUGAAAAAAUUAGAGUGUUUAAAGCAAGCUUACGCUUGAAUACAUUAGUAUGGAAUAAUGAAAUAGGACAUCCGAUUCUAUUUUGUUGGUUUCUAGGAUCGAUGUAAUGAUUAAUAGGGAUAGUUGGGGGCAUUAGUAUUCAAUUGUCAGAGGUGAAAUUCUUGGAUUUAUUGAAGACUAACUACUGCGAAAGUAUUUGCCAAGGAUGUUUUCAUUAAUCAAGAACGAAAGUUAGGGGAUCGAAGACGAUCAGAUACCGUCGUAGUCUUAACCAUAAACUAUAGCCGACUAGGGAUCGAUGAUGUUUAUUUUUAGUGUCUCAUUCGCACCUUAAC